GAUGAACGCUAGCGGCAGGCUUAACACAUGCAAGUCGUGGGGCAGCGCGGGUAGCAAUACUUGGCGGCGACCGGCAAACGGGUGCGGAACACGUACGCAACCUUCCUCAGAGCGGGGAAUAGCCUCUCGAAAGAGAGAUUAAUACCCCAUAGUAUCUUGAAACUGCAUGGUUUUAAGAUUAAAGCUCCGGCACUUUGAGAUGGGCGUGCGGCUGACUUAGGUAGUUGGUAGGGUAACGGCCUACCAAGCCAACGAUCAGUAGCUGAUGUGAGAGCAUGAUCAGCCACACGGGCACUGAGACACGGGCCCGACUCCUACGGGAGGCAGCAGUGAGGAAUAUUGGUCAAUGGAGGCAACUCUGAACCGGCCAUGCCGCGUGAAGGAUGAAGGUCCUCUGGAUUGUAAACUUCUUUUAUAGAAGAAGAAACCCACGUUUUCUAAUGUGGUUGACGGUACUCUAAUGAAUAAGCACCGGCUAACUCCGUAGCCAGC
rnacentral:rRNA from 1 species